GAUGAACGCUAGCGACAGGCCUAACACAUGCAAGUCGAGGGGCAGCACAUGAGUAGCAAUACGAUGGUGGCGACCGGCGCACGGGUGAGUAACACGUAUGCAACCUACUUGUAAGAGGGGAAUAACCCGGAGAAAUCCGGACUAAUACCGCAUAAUACUUUAUUACCGCAUGGUAUAAAAGUUAAACAUUUAUGGCUUACAGAUGGGCAUGCGUAUGAUUAGUUUGUUGGUGAGGUAACGGCUCACCAAGACAUCGAUCAUUAGGGGUUCUGAGAGGAAGGUCCCCCACACUGGUACUGAGACACGGACCAGACUCCUACGGGAGGCAGCAGUGAGGAAUAUUGGUCAAUGGGCGAGAGCCUGAACCAGCCAAGUCGCGUGAAGGAAGAAGGUUCUAUGGAUUGUAAACUUCUUUUAUAAGGGAAUAAAAAGAGUACGUGUACUCUCUUGUAUGUACUUUAUGAAUAAGGAUCGGCUAACUCCGUGCCAGCAGCCG
rnacentral:rRNA from 1 species